GACGAACGCUGGCGGCGUGCUUAACACAUGCAAGUCGAACGGAAGGGCCCUGCUUUCAGGGUACUCGAGUUGCGAACGGGUGAGUAACACGUGGGUGAUCUGCCCUGCACUUCGGGAUAAGCCUGGUAAACUGGGUCUAAUACCGGAUAUGACCUUCCUAGUAGUGUGGGGGGUGGAAAGAUUUAUCGGUGUGGGAUGAGCCGGCGGCCUAUCAGCUUGUUGGUGGGGUAAUGGCCUACCAAGGGGUCGACGGGUAGCCGGCCUGAGAGGGUGGACGGCCACAUUGGGACUGCGAUACGGCCCAGACUCCUACGGGCGGCAGCAGUGGGGAAUAUUGCACAAUGGGCGGAAGCCUUAUGCAGAGACGCCGGGUGGGGGAUGACGGCCUUCGGGUUGUAAACCUCUUUCGACAGGGACGAAGCUUCGGUGACGGUACCUGUAUAAGAAGCACCGGCUAACUACGUG
rnacentral:rRNA from 1 species